GAAAAUUGAUUGUGAUCCAAGUAUCUGGAAUACAAUCAAGGCUAGCUUAAAAACACAUAAUAAAGAAAAUUCUGUACAGCAAAACAUAAAAACAUUCAACAGUGAGGAAACAUAGACUGAAAUGUGUAUUCUCAUAUUUUCCAAACUUUAGGGGAGCAGGAAGGAGCACUGGUGGAGCUGGAUAUUAAAUUUUAAGGGGGCUAAACAUAAAGCUAAUAUAUAUACACACACAUAGACACACAGAGAGCAACAAUUAAAGCAAUGUCCUGUGAAUUUUUUUAAAUGAUUUUAAAUAUUAUUCAUUAAAUAGUUACUUUGUUGAUGACUUGAUGAUAUAUUACAUAUUCAAUAAAUAUUGCCUACAAGUAAAAUUCCAUUAGAUAAUUAUUAUAUUAAAUUUAAAUACAUAUAAUAAAAAUACAGCACAAAGUAAAUUAUAGAAAGCUAUUUUUUCAGACAAAGUAAAUUAUAGAAAACUAUUUUUUUUAGAUGAAUAAUGAAAAGAUACUGUCAUUUGGGUGGUUGAAAGCCAACCUCAUAGGAUGUUUCAAACCCUAACAAACUCAAUCCCUUUAAGAAUUUUGAAGUACCAAAAACAUAAUAGUGAAAAGAUACUAAGGUAAUAUAUAAAAAUUUAUAUAAAUUGUAAAACAAAAUAAUUAUAUGAUGAUAUACAUGUAUAUUAACUAAAAUUUUCCCUAAAAUGUUUCAAAAUACUUGUAAAAAAAAAGAGUCAUCAUAAAAUUUUUUACGGGGGAGCUCUUGGGACCUGGGGGAGCCAUGGUCCCCUCUAGUCCCCAAGUAGCACCACCACUAGGGAGGAGUAAACAAUCCACCAACUAACUAGCAAGGCAAGUAGAUGUGCUUUUAUGUUGCUGAAAAAAGCCAUGGACAUUUUGAUAACUACACACAAGUAAGUUCAGAUACAAAUGGCUGAGAAAGGGAAAACAUAGAAUCAACAAUUUGUAUCUUAGAUAUUCUCUAUAAUUUUAGAGAAGAGCAUAAUAAUGUCAUAUAACCACGCAACAAUUCAUUUUCAAUAUGAAGAAGAGAGCAAGAUGAUCUGUAGUCUCCUCAGAACCCUGGGCAGGCAUUCUCAUCAAUUUUGAUUGAUAUGAAUUUAUGCAAAAUAUCCUAACAUCUGCCACUAAUCCAUUAUUGAGUAUAUAAACUCAUGGGGAAAAAAAAGGCUUAUCUUAAAUACUUAAAAGAAAAAAAAAGUUAAAUAACUUAUGGAAACAAGAGG
rnacentral:misc_RNA from 1 species